AUUGAACGCUAGCGGCAUGCCUUACACAUGCAAGUCGAACGGCAGCGGGGGAGCUUGCUCCCGCCGGCGAGUGGCGAACGGGUGAGUAAUACAUCGGAACGUACCCAGUAGCGGGGGAUAGCCCGGCGAAAGCCGGAUUAAUACCGCAUACGCCCUACGGGGGAAAGGGGGGGAUCGCAAGACCUCUCACUAUUGGAGCGGCCGAUGGCUGAUUAGCUAGUUGGUGGGGUAAAGGCCUACCAAGGCGACGAUCAGUAGCUGGUCUGGGAGGACGACCAGGCACACUGGGAGUGGGACGCGGCCCAGACUCGUACGGGAGGCAGCAGUGGGGAAUUUUGGACAAUGGGCGAAAGCCUGAUCCAGCAAUGCCGCGUGUGCGAAGAAGGCCUUCGGGUUGUAAAGCACUUUUGUCAGGGAAGAAAUCGUUUGGGUUAAUACCCCGAGCAGUUGACGGUACCUGAAGAAUAAGCACCGGCUAACUACGUGCCAGCCGCCGCGGUAA
rnacentral:rRNA from 1 species